rnacentral:rRNA from 1 species
CCUACGGGAGGCAGCAGUGAGGAAUAUUGGUCAAUGGGCGGAAGCCUGAACCAGCCAAGUAGCGUGCAGGAUGACGGCCCUACGGGUUGUAAACUGCUUUUAUACGGGAAUAACGCGCCUUACGUGUAGGGCUUUGCAUGUACCGUAUGAAUAAGGACCGGCUAAUUCCGUGCCAGCAGCCGCGGUAAUACGGAAGGUCCGGGCGUUAUCCGGAUUUAUUGGGUUUAAAGGGUGCGGAGGCCGCAUGGCAAGCGUGCGGUGAAAGGUCCGGGCUCAACCCGGGCCCUGCAGCGCGAACUGGCGUGCUUGAGUCCGCGGAAAGCAGGCGGAAUGCGUCGUGUAGCGGUGAAAUGCUUAGAUAUGACGAAGAACCCCGAUUGCGAAGGCAGCUUGCUGCAGCGGAACUGACGCUGAUGCUCGAAAGCGCGGGUAUCGAACAGGAUUAGAUACCCUAGUAGUC